UGCAUGUAUGUGUGUGUGACUGUGUGUGCGUCCCUCGGACUGUCUGUCUGUUUGCCUUUGUAAUAUGUAUCUCCCGCCGCCACUUUGUAACUGUUGUCAUUUUUAUUGCCCUGGGAAUGUUUUUUGUCCACCAUUGUGAGAGACGUACACGCCCCGCCAAGCAUUUUUUUCUCUCUCCUGCCUUCAUAUGUCUGCCAUUAUGUGUGUGUGUGUGUGUGUUGCUGUCCUGGCUGGGUGUCCUUUGUACUCCGCUAAACAAAAGUUUUGUCGUUGAUUUUAUUGACCAAUUUUUGGAUGCGUAAGUUGCUUUUUUUUCUCGAGAGUUUUUGCAUGCUGCUCCCGCUUCUUCAGCUCCUGCUGACCCUGCUCCUGCUGAUGCUGCUGCCCCUGGGCCUUUGCCAGUUUAUUUUGCUGUUCGUUUCUUUUCUUUGGGCUUGCUUUGUUUUCAUAAGUUUUUUUAUAGCCUCAUCUGUGGGAUUUAAAGUUUUAUUGUGAUUUAAACACUUGUUAAUCGUGUGUGCAUAUGUCAAUUGCCUGUCGCUGUGUGUGUGCGCGUGUGUGUGUGUGUGGGUAAGAUUUGCUUCUGUUGUUUUUUCUUUAGCUACUGGAUUAAGUUGUCUUCGGGCAAUGCUUAUGACUG